GGCAGACUUAGUGCUGCAAUGUAAACAUUGCAGUUCCCUGGAACUGCAAUGUUUUACAUUGCAGCAUUCUGUUCAAAAGGGACACAGCAGCCAAACUACUUCAAUGAGCUGAAGUGGUCUGGGUGCCUACAGUGUCCCUUUAAGGCCAGCAGUUGCAGUUAGUGUCUGGUACAUUUGAAUGUGGAUCCCUUCAGUGUUAGACAGGACAGAAAAGGUAUGUCCCAGUGCCUCAGAAACC